rnacentral:rRNA from 1 species
GAUGAACGCUGGCGGCGUGCCUAAUACAUGCAAGUCGAGCGAGCGGACGAGAAGCUUGCUUCUCUGAUGUUAGCGGCGGACGGGUGAGUAACACGUGGAUAACCUACCUAUAAGACUGGGAUAACUUCGGGAAACCGGAGCUAAUACCGGAUAAUAUUUUGAACCGCAUGGUUCAAAAGUGAAAGACGGUCUUGCUGUCACUUAUAGAUGGAUCCGCGCUGCAUUAGCUAGUUGGUAAGGUAACGGCUUACCAAGGCAACGAUGCAUAGCCGACCUGAGAGGGUGAUCGGCCACACUGGAACUGAGACACGGUCCAGACUCCUACGGGAGGCAGCAGUAGGGAAUCUUCCGCAAUGGGCGAAAGCCUGACGGAGCAACGCCGCGUGAGUGAUGAAGGUCUUCGGAUCGUAAAACUCUGUUAUUAGGGAAGAGCAUAUGUGUAAGUAACUGUGCACAUCUUGACGGUACCUAAUCAGAAAGCCACGGCUAACUACGUG